CCAAGAACCCACCAAUUCCAGACACAACUGCACCCAGCCAUGAAAAGUUAUUUUUAAAAGUCUUCAUAUUUACAAGUGCUGAGUUUGUCUGCUUCUCCUUAUCGGGCCUCAAGAAAACGCAGCCAGACCCAGUUUGGUUCCGGAAACAAUAUGAGUUCAUCCCUUUUUCCUUGUUCACUCAGCUCCCAUAUAUCUCUUAGGCAGAGAUUUUUAGGAGUUCACAAUGCACACAUUUCCUUCCCUCAAAAGGGGAAAAUAUAUAUAAAUGUAAAACGAAAAGAGCAAAUGGAACAACUACAAAAAGAAAAUGAAACUUAAGAUUAAAAAAUGCAGAUCCAAAAAUUUUUUUCUAAACUGGGAGAUUAAGAAACAAAAUAAAAUUCUCAAACAUUAAUAUAUGCCAGGUUUUUUUGAGACUACAGCUGGCUAUGUAUCAUGGCUGGUUCUUCUGUACAUUUUAAAUUGAUGGACAGAUUAC
rnacentral:lncRNA from 10 species